rnacentral:rRNA from 1 species
GACGGAGGGGGCUAGCGUUGUUCGGAAUGACUGGGCGUAAAGGGCGCGUAGGCGGUUUUUUAAGUGAGGCGUGAAAGCCCUGGGCUUAACCCAGGAGGUGCGCUUCAUACUGAAAAGCUUGAGUGCGAGAGAGGAAAGUGGAAUUCCUAGUGUAGAGGUGAAAUUCGUAGAUAUUAGGAAGAACACCAGUGGCGAAGGCGACUUUCUGGCUCGUAACUGACGCUGAGGCGCGAAAGCGUGGGGAGCAAACAGGAUUAGAUACCCUGGUAGUCCACGCCGUAAACGAUGAGUGCUAGACGUUGGGAAGCAAUUUUCAGUGUCGCAGCUAACGCAUUAAGCACUCCGCCUGGGGAGUACGGUCGCAAGAUUA